CGGCCCCAGAUUCCUACGGGRGGCAGCAGUGGGGAAUWUUGGACAAUGGGCGCAAGCCYUGAUCCARGCCAUACCGCGUGUGUGAAGAAGGCCCUAGGGUUGUAAAGCACUUUAAGUUGGGAAGAAAAGUUAUUGAUUAAUACCCAAUAACCGUGACAUUACCAUCAGAAUAAGGACCGGCUAAUUCCGUGCCAGCAGCCGCGGUAAUACGGAAGGUCCAAGCGUUAAUCGGAAUUACUGGGCGUAAAGCGCGCGUAGGUGGUUUAUUAAGUUGGAUGUGAAAUCCCCGGGCUCAACCUGGGAACUGCAUCCAAAACUGAUUCACUAGAGUACGAUAGAGGGAGGUAGAAUUCACAGUGUAGCGGUGGAAUGCGUAGAUAUUGUGAAGAAUACCAAUGGCGAAGGCAGCCUCCUGGAUCUGUACUGACACUGAGGUGCGAAAGCGUGGGUAGCGAACAGGAUUAGAUACCCUGGUAGUCCACGCCGUAAACGAUGUCAACUAGCUGUUGGAGAACUAUGUUCUUCAGUGGCGCAGCUAACGUAGUAAGUUGACCGCCUGGGGAGUACGGCCGCAAGGCUAAAACUCAAAUGAAUUGACGGGGACCCGCACAAGCGGUGGAGCAUGUGGUUUAAUUCGAUGCAACGCGAAAAACCUUACCUAUACUUGACAUACUUGGAAUGCUUUGUAAUGAAGCAGUGCCUUCGGGAGCUAAGAUACAGGUGCUGCAUGGCUGUCGUCAGCUCGUGUCGUGAGAUGUUCCGUUAAGUCGGAUAACGAGCGCAACCCUUACCCUUAUUUGCCAGCGAUUCGGUCGGGAACUAUAAGGGGACUGCCGGUGAUAAACCGGAGGAAGGUGAGGACGACGUCAAGUCAUCAUGGCCCUUACGUAUAGGGCUACACACGUGCUACAAUGGAGAAUACAGACGGACGCUAAGCCGCGAGGUGGUGCCAAUCCUAGAAAAUUCUUCGUAGUCCGGAUUGGAGUCUGCAACUCGACUCCAUGAAGUCGGAAUCGCUAGUAAUCGCGAAUCAGCAUGUCGCGGUGAAUACGUUCUCGGGUCUUGUACACACCGCCCGUCAUACCAUGGAAGUGGAUUGCACCAGAAGUAGAUAGUCUAACCUUCG
rnacentral:rRNA from 1 species